UAUAAUCAAGCUAGCAUCAUGUUGGUUGUUUAUUGCUUAGCAUGAUGCGAAAAUUAUCAAUAAACUACACACGUAGAAAGAUUUGUAUCAGGACCUCUGGACGCGGGUUCGAAUCCCGCCGUCUCCAUUA
rnacentral:tmRNA from 1 species